AGCUACGGCCGUGUGGCGCGUUGAUACACCCAAUCCCCUCAAUCUCGGAAGUUAAGCAACGUGCAGUACGGUCAGUACUUAGUACUUGGAUGGGAGACCACCCAAGGAUGGCUGGAUGCUGUAGCCA
rnacentral:rRNA from 1 species